GGUGCGAUGGCCGAGUGGUUUAGGCACUGGUCUGCAAAACCAGAGACACCGGUUCGAAUCCGGUUCGCACCUCCA
rnacentral:tRNA from 1 species